rnacentral:rRNA from 1 species
CUGGCUCAGAUUGAACGCUGGCGGCAUGCCUAACACAUG